UGAACGCUGGCGGCGUGCCUAAUACAUGCAAGUCGAGCGAACAGACGAGGAGCUUGCUCCUCUGACGUUAGCGGCGGACGGGUGAGUAACACGUGGAUAACCUACCUAUAAGACUGGGAUAACUUCGGGAAACCGGAGCUAAUACCGGAUAAUAUAUUGAACCGCAUGGUUCAAUAGUGAAAGACGGUUUUGCUGUAACUUAUAGAUGGAUCCGCGCCGCAUUAGCUAGUUGGUAAGGUAACGGCUUACCAAGGCAACGAUGCGUAGCCGACCUGAGAGGGUGAUCGGCCACACUGGAACUGAGACACGGUCCAGACUCCUACGGGAGGCAGCAGUAGGGAAUCUUCCGCAAUGGGCGAAAGCCUGACGGAGCAACGCCGCGUGAGUGAUGAAGGUCUUCGGAUCGUAAAACUCUGUUAUUAGGGAAGAACGAAUGUGUAAGUAACUAUGCACGUCUUGACGGUACCUAAUCAGAAAGCCACGGCUAACUACGUG
rnacentral:rRNA from 1 species